AGAGUUUGAUCAUGGCUCAGAAUCAACGCUGGCGGCGCGCUUAACACAUGCAAGUCGCACGAGAAAGCGGGAGCAAUCCCGCAAGUACAGUGGCGUACGGGUGAGUAACACGUGGGUGAUCUACCCUUUAGUGGGGAAUAACGCUGGGAAACCGGCGCUAAUACCGCAUAAGCUCGAGAGAGGAAAGCAGCAAUGCGCUGAAGGAGGAGCCCGCGGCCGAUUAGCUAGUUGGGAGGGUAAAAGCCUACCAAGGCAUAGAUCGGUAGCCGGCCUGAGAGGGCACACGGCCACACUGGCACUGAAACACGGGCCAGACUCCUACGGGAGGCAGCAGUGGGGAAUCUUGCACAAUGGGGGAAACCCUGAUGCAGCGACGCCGCGUGAGCGAUGAAGCCCUUCGGGGUGUAAAGCUCUUUCGUCAGGGACGAUAAUGACGGUACCUGGAGAAGCAGCUGCGGCUAACUACGUGCCAGCAGCCGCGGUAAUACGUAGGCAGCGAGCGUUGUUCGGAGUUACUGGGCGUAAAGGGUGUGUAGGCGGUUUUCUAAGUUUGGUGUGAAAUCUCCCGGCUCAACCGGGAGGGUGCGCCGAAAACUGGGAGACUAGAGUGCGGGAUGGGAGAGUAGAAUUCCUGGUGUAGCGGUGAAAUGCGUAGAUAUCAGGAGGAAUACCGGUGGUGUAGACGGCUCUCUGGACCGCCACUGACGCUGAGACACGAAAGCGUGGGUAGCAAACAGGAUUAGAUACCCUAGUAGUCC
rnacentral:rRNA from 1 species